UACGGAGGGUGCAAACGUUGCUCGGAAUCAUUGGGCGUAAAGCGCACGUAGGCGGCCUGAUAAGUCGGGUGUGAAAGCCCUGGGCUCAACCCAGGAAGUGCACUCGAAACUGUCAGGCUUGAAUAUGGAAGAGGGUCGCGGAAUUCCCGGUGUAGAGGUGAAAAUUCGUAGAUAUCGGGGAGGAACACCAGUGGCGAAGGCGGCGACC
rnacentral:rRNA from 1 species